UACGUAGGGGGCGAGCGUUGUCCGGAUUUAUUGGGCGUAAAGAGCUCGUAGGCGGUUUGGUAAGUCGGGUGUGAAAUCUCCACGCUCAACGUGGAGGGGCCACUCGAUACUGCCAUGACUCGAGUCCGGUAGAGGAGUGUGGAAUUCCCGGUGUAGCGGUGAAAUGCGCAGAUAUCGUAAGGAAGACCAGUGGCGAAGGCGGGUCUCUGGACAGUUCCUGACGCUGAGGCACGAAGGUCAGGGGAGCAAACGGG
rnacentral:rRNA from 1 species